CCUACGGGAGGCAGCAGUGAGGAAUAUUGGUCAAUGGACGAGAGUCUGAACCAGCCAAGUAGCGUGAAGGAUGACUGCCCUAUGGGUUGUAAACUUCUUUUAUAUGGGAAUAAAAUGUUCCACGUGUGGGAUUUUGUAUGUACCAUAUGAAUAAGGAUCGGCUAACUCCGUGCCAGCAGCCGCGGUAAUACGGAGGAUCCGAGCGUUAUCCGGAUUUAUUGGGUUUAAAGGGAGCGUAGGUGGAUUGUUAAGUCAGUUGUGAAAGUUUGCGGCUCAACCGUAACAUUGCAGUUGAAACUGGCAGUCUUGAGUACAGUAGAGGUGGGCGGAAGUCGGGGUGUAGCGGUGAAAUGCUUGGAUAUCAAGAAGAACUCCGAUUGCGAAGGCAGUUCACUGGACUGCAACUGACACUGAGGCUCGAAAGUGUGGGUAUCAAACAGGAUUAGAUACCCUAGAGUC
rnacentral:rRNA from 1 species